ACCAGACUCCUACGGGAGGCAGCAGUGGGGAAUAUUGGGCAAUGGACGCAAGUCUGACCCAGCAACGCCGCGUGAAGGAAGAAGGCUUUCGGGUUGUAAACUUCUUUUAAGGGGGAAGAGCAGAAGACGGUACCCCUUGAAUAAGCCACGGCUAACUACGUGCCAGCAGCCGCGGUAAUACGUAGGUGGCAAGCGUUGUCCGGAUUUACUGGGUGUAAAGGGCGUGCAGCCGGAGAGACAAGUCAGAUGUGAAAUCCACGGGCUCAACCCGUGAACUGCAUUUGAAACUGUUGGUCUUGAGUAUCGGAGAGGCAGGCGGAAUUCCUAGUGUAGCGGUGAAAUGCGUAGAUAUUAGGAGGAACACCAGUGGCGAAGGCGGCCUGCUGGACGACAACUGACGGUGAGGCGCGAAAGCGUGGGGAGCAAACAGGAUUAGAUACCCGAGUA
rnacentral:rRNA from 1 species